rnacentral:misc_RNA from 1 species
CCCCGCUCUAUGUUCCUCGCCACUCCGUUAAAUUACAGGAGUGGGGAUUUUAUAAGAGCGAAAAUAGAAUAUCAGGUCAUGAGCGGUGCUCAUCUUCGGUUAAUUUUCACGAUAUGGCUGAUUGGGUUAUGACCACAAUU